GAGUGUAGCUCAGUUGGUAGAGCAUCACGUUGCCAACGUGAUUGUCGCCGGUUCGAAUCCGGUCACU
rnacentral:tRNA from 1 species